UGGGGAAUAUUGGACAAUGGGCGAAAGCCUGAUCCAGCCAUGCCGCGUGUGUGAAGAAGGUCUUCGGAUUGUAAAGCACUUUAAGUUGGGAGGAAGGGCAGUAAGCGAAUACCUUGCUGUUUUGACGUUACCGACAGAAUAAGCACCGGCUAACUCUGUGCCAGCAGCCGCGGUAAUACAGAGGGUGCAAGCGUUAAUCGGAAUUACUGGGCGUAAAGCGCGCGUAGGUGGUUCGUUAAGUUGAAUGUGAAAGCCCCGGGCUCAACCUGGGAACUGCAUCCAAAACUGGCGAGCUAGAGUAGGGCAGAGGGUGGUGGAAUUUCCUGUGUAGCGGUGAAAUGCGUAGAUAUAGGAAGGAACACCAGUGGCGAAGGCGACCACCUGGGAUAAUACUGACACUGAGGUGCGAAAGCGUGGGGAGCAAACAGG
rnacentral:rRNA from 1 species